rnacentral:rRNA from 1 species
CCUACGGGAGGCAGCAGUGGGGAAUAUUGGGCAAUGGACGCAAGUCUGACCCAGCAACGCCGCGUGAAGGAAGAAGGCGCUCGGGUUGUAAACCUCCUUUUAGCGGGAAGAGCAGAAGACGGUACCCCUUGAAUAAGCUACGGCGAACUACGUGCCAGCAGCCGCGGCAAUACGUAGGUGCCAAGCGUUGUCCGGAUUUACUGGGUGUAAAGGGCGUGCAGCCGGGGAGACAAGUCAGAUGUGAAAUCCACGGGCUCAACCCGUGAACUGCAUUUGAAACUGUUUCCCUUGAGUGUCGGAGAGGUAAUCGGAAUGCCUUGUGUAGCGGUGAAAUGCGUAGAUAUAAUGAAGAACACCAGUGGCGAAGGCAGAGUACUGGACGAUAACUGACGGUGAGGCGCGAAAGCGUGGGGAGCAAACAGGAUUAGAUACCCGUGUAGUC